rnacentral:rRNA from 1 species
GUGGGGAAUAUUAGGCAAUGGGCGAAAGCCUGACCUAGCAACGCCGCGUGAAGGAAGAAGGCCUUCGGGUUGUAAACUUCUUUUAUGAGGGACGAAGGACGUGACGGUACCUCAUGACUAAGCCACGGCUAACUACGUGCCAGCAGCCGCGGUAAUACGUAGGUGGCGAGCGUUGUCCGGAUUUACUGGGUGUAAAGGGCGCGUAGGCGGACUGGCAAGUCAGAGGUGAAAUACAGGGGCUCAACCCCUAAAAUGCAUUUGAAACUGUUGGUCUAGAGUAUCGGAGAGGCAAGCGGAAUUCCUAGUGUAGCGGUGAAAUGCGUAGAUAUUAGGAGGAACACCAGUGGCGAAGGCGGCUUGCUGGACGACAACUGACGCUGAGGCGCGAAAGCGUGGGGAGCAAACAGGAUUAGAUACCCGGGUAGUCC